CUCUCCAGCUCAGACGGUGCCCACACAUGUGGGGAGGAAGACGGAGAAUAAGGGCGUCGGAACAUAUCGAUGGCCAAGCAUGAUAGGCCAAAAGACCAUGUGUGUCAAGGUGCAAUACGAAUGAGGAAACAUCUGCAGAGGAAAGUACAGGAGACCAGGGAAGGUGCUGGAAGAUGAAAGGAACACAAGCACAUCCCAGAAUCUGUAGCUGAGUAUUACCACUGUUUCUCCUAACGGCAACACAUUUUGAACCAUGAAGAAUUCAAUACUGAAAAAACAGUGAUAAGCUGAAGUAUUAUGGAUCCCAGCACAUUUAACAUACAG